AACGAACGCUGGCGGCAUGCCUAACACAUGCAAGUCGAACGAGACCUUCGGGUCUAGUGGCGCACGGGUGCGUAACGCGUGGGAAUCUGCCCUUGGGUUCGGAACAACAGUUGGAAACGACUACUAAUACCGGAUGAUGACUUCGGUCCAAAGAUUUAUCGCCCAAGGAUGAGCCCGCGUAGGAUUAGCUUGUUGGUGAGGUAAAAGCUCACCAAGGCGACGAUCCUUAGCUGGUCUGAGAGGAUGAUCAGCCACACCGGGACUGAGGCACGGCCCAGACUCCUACGGGAGGCAGCAGUGGGGAAUAUUGGACAAUGGGCGAAAGCCUGAUCCAGCAAUGCCGCGUGAGUGAUGAAGGCCUUAGGGUUGUAAAGCUCUUUUACCCGGGAUGAUAAUGACAGUACCGGGAGAAUAAGCCCCGGCUAACUCCGUGCCAGCCGCCGCAGUAAUAC
rnacentral:rRNA from 1 species